rnacentral:rRNA from 1 species
GACAGAGGUGCCAAGCGUUAGGCGGAAUCACUGGGCUUAAAGCGUGUGUAGGUGGACUGGUAAGUACUUUGUGAAAUCCCACGGCUCAACCGUGGAACUGCUUGGUAUACUGCUGGUCUUGAGCAACUUAGGGGCGAGCGGAACAAAUGGUGGAGCGGUGAAAUGCGUAGAUAUCAUUUGGAACGCCAAUGGUGAAAACAGCUCGCUGGGAGUUUGCUGACACUGAGACACGAAAGCUAGGGGAGCGAACGGG